GGUAAGAUGAGCUAAAUUUUAUGCUAUUGGGCCCAUAACCCAAAAGUGUCUCAAGACUUUUACUU
rnacentral:tRNA from 1 species